rnacentral:rRNA from 1 species
GACGAACGCUGGCGGCGUGCCUAAUACAUGCAAGUCGAACGCAGUGGGGACGGGUGAGUAACACGUGGGUAACCUCCCAUCAGAGGGGAUAACACUUUGAUACAGGUGCUAAACCGAUAUUGACGGGUUGACCCGCGGUGCAUUAGCUAGUUGGGGAGGUAACGGCUCACCAAGGCCACGAUGCAUAGCCGACCUGAGAGGGGGAUCGGCAACACUGGGACGGAGACACGGCCCAGACGCCUACGGGAGGCAGCAGGAGGGAAUCGGCGGCAAUGGACGAAAGUCUGACCGAGCAAGGCCGCGUGAGUGAAGAAGGUGUUGGGAGCGUAAAACUCUGUUGUUAGAGAAGCGGUAUCUAACCAGAAAGCCACGGCUAACUACGUGCCAGCAGCCGCGGUAAUAC